CAAAUACCCGUUUACUGUCUCCGCUAACGCGUCGCCAGUAAACUUAAUUUGCGACCAUCAAAUCCCCAAUUGAUGCCGUCGGAGCUUAAAAUACAAUACAGUUAUCUCCUAAUUCUACGUACUUUUCUUAUAUUUAAAGCAAUUCACUAUCUGCUAGAAAUAGAAAGAGAACAAACACAUUGAAGUUUUAUGACUUAAUGAAUUCCCCCAA
rnacentral:lncRNA from 1 species